GGUCGCUUAGCUCAGCUGGUUAGAGCGUUGCAUUGACAUUGCAAAGGUCAGGGGUUCGAGUCCCUUAGCGACCA
rnacentral:tRNA from 1 species